rnacentral:rRNA from 1 species
GACGAACGCUGGCGGCGUGCUUAACACAUGCAAGUCGAACGGAAAGGCCCUGCUUUUGUGGGGUGCUCGAGUGGCGAGCGGGUGAGUAACACGUGUGUAACCUGCCCUUGACUUUGGGAUAACUUCAGGAAACUGGGGCUAAUACCGGAUGGGCACUCCUGCUGCAUGGUGGGGGUUGGAAAGUUUCGGCGGUUGGGGAUGGACUCGCGGCUUAUCCGCUUGUUGGUGGGGUAGUGGCUUACCAAGGCUUUGACGGGUCGCCGGCCUGAGAGGGUGACCGGCCACAUUGGGACUGAGAUACGGCCCAGACUACUACGGGAGGCAGUAGUGGGGAAUAUUGCACAAUGGGCGGAAGCCUGAUGCAGCAACGCCGCGUGCGGGAUGACGGCCUUCGGGUUGUAAACCGCUUUCGACUGUGACGAAGCGUGAGUGACGGUAAUGGGUAAAGAAGCACCGGCUAACUACGUG